UUGGGCGUAAGCGCGCGCAGGCGGUUUCUUAAGUCUGAUGUGAAAGCCCACGGCUCAACCGUGGAGGGGCAUUGGAAACUGGGGAACUUGAGUGCAGAAGAGAAAAGCGGAAUUCCACGUGUAGCGGUGAAAUGCGUAGAGAUGUGGAGGAACACCAGUGGCGAAGGCGGCUUUCUGGUCUGUAACUGACGCUGAGGCGCGAAAGCGUGGGGAGCAAACAGGAUUAGAUACCCUGGUAGUCCACGCCGUAAACGAUGAGUGCUAAGUGUUAGAGGGUUUCCGCCCUAUAGUGCUGCAGCUAACGCAUUAAGCACUCCGCCUGGGGAGAACGGUCGCAAGACUGAAACUCAAAGGAAUUGACGGGGGCCCGCACAAGCGGUGGAGCAUGUGGUUUAAUUCAAACCAACGCAAACAACCUUACCAGGUCUUGACAUCCUCUGAGAACUCUAGAGAUAUAGCGUUCCCCUUCGGGGGACAGAGCGACAGGUGGUGCAUGGUUGUCGUCAGCUCGUGUCGUGAGAUGUUGGGUUAAGUCCCGCAACGAGCGCAACUCUUGAUCUUAGUUGCCAGCAUUUAUUUGGGCACUCUGCCGUGACUGCCGGUGACAAACCGGAGGAUGGUGGGGAUGACGUCCAAUCAUCAUGCCUCUUAUGACCUGGGCUACACACGUGCUACAAUGGAUGGUACAUAGGGCUGCAAGACCGCGGAGUCACGCCAAUCCCAUAAAACC
rnacentral:rRNA from 2 species